rnacentral:ncRNA from 1 species
ACCAAACGUCGCGGGAGCUCGCGCUCAGGCGGGCUGAGAGGGCGGCUUGGUGUCCAUUGAGGACCCGGCGCCGCCGACCGCAUGAACCUGACCGGGUAAUGCCGGCGUAGGGAAGGUAGGCGUUCCAUG